rnacentral:rRNA from 1 species
UACGAAGGGGGCUAGCGUUGUUCGGAAUUACUGGGCGUAAAGGGCGCGUAGGCGGCUUUUCAAGUGACGGGUGAAAUCCCUCGGCUUAACCGAGGAACUGCCUGUCAGACUGGAAGGCUUGAGACCGGGAGAGGUGAGUGGAAUUCCCAGUGUAGCGGUGAAAUGCGUAGAUAUUGGGAGGAACACCAGUGGCGAAGGCGGCUCACUGGACCGGAACUGACGCUGAGACGCGAAAGCGUGGGGAGCAAACAGG